CCGGGAGCAUCCGAUUCCAAUCAGGGAUCUUCGUGUCAAUUGAACUUGUCUCGUUGUAACAAGGAAAUAUCAAGGUGACAGCAGCACUGUGAAAGAAUUCUGAGCCUGGGAAUGUGUAUUCUAGCAGCAAGCGGUGUGCAGAAUGGAGCAGGUGCCAGGAGGCCGUUUAGGAGGUCCAGCCUGAAAAUUCCAGGGCUACUCUGCCUGAUUUGGGGUCCAUGGAGCCUCGAUACCUUCUUUAUCCAUUUCUGCAGGAAUCUCUCAUGAACUACAGUCAACAGGAUGAGGCAGAGGGUGACUUACCGAUGACAAUGCCACCGAUG